rnacentral:rRNA from 1 species
GAUGAACGCUGGCGGCGUGCCUAAUACAUGCAAGUCGAGCGAACAGAUGAGGAGCUUGCUCCUCUGACGUUAGCGGCGGACGGGUGAGUAACACGUGGACAGCCUACCUAUAAGACUGGGAUAACUUCGGGAAACCGGAGCUAAUACCGGAUAAUAUAUUGAACCGCAUGGUUCAAUAGUGAAAGACGGUUUUGCUGUCACUUAUAGAUGGAUCCGCGCCGCAUUAGCUAGUUGGUAAGGUAACGGCUUACCAAGGCAACGAUGCGUAGCCGACCUGAGAGGGUGAUCGGCCACACUGGAACUGAGACACGGUCCAGACUCCUACGGGAGGCAGCAGUAGGGAAUCUUCCGCAAUGGGCGAAAGCCUGACGGAGCAACGCCGCGUGAGUGAUGAAGGUCUUCGGAUCGUAAAACUGUGUUAUUAGGGAAGAACAAAUGUGUAAGUAACUAUGCACGUCUUGACGGUACCUAAUCAGAAAGCCACGGCUAACUACGUG